AAUCUACUCCCUCCGUUCCAAAUUACUCGUCGCUGAAAUGGAUGUAUCUAGAACUAAAAUACAUCUAGAUACAUCCAUACGUGCGACAAGUAGUUCGGAACGGAGGGAGUAGUAU
rfam:Triticum aestivum genome assembly, contig: Triticum_aestivum_CS42_TGACv1_scaffold_513194_6BS